GGUUGCCCUCGGAUCAGGUAGGGAUACCCGCUGAACUUAAGCAUAU
rnacentral:rRNA from 1 species